rnacentral:rRNA from 1 species
GACGUGAGGGGCGAGCGUUGUCCGGAUUUAUUGGGCGUAAAGCGCGCGUAGGCGGCCCGGAAAGUCGGAUGUGAAAUCCCGGGGCUCAACCCCGGGCCUGCAUCCGAUACUCCCGGGCUGGAGGCAGGUAGGGGAGAUCGGAAUUCCUGGUGUAGCGGUGGAAAUGCGCAGAUAUCAGGAGGAACACCGGUGGCGAAGGCGGGUCUCUGGGCCGGAUGACUG